rnacentral:lncRNA from 1 species
UAACUGAAUUAUGAUAUCUCACUUGAUUUUCGUAUUUUAAAGAUUCCCCCUGACCUUUAAGUUUGGCAUACAGUGUGGUUGCUUUGCCGGUAAAGAUAAUCAAUGGAAUGUGUACAGAAAAGUAGAAAAGUUCAAAGUCAUCCCUUUCACUGGUCAUUGCCUAGUUUUCUAUCAAGUGCCUCUUUCACUUAUGGAGUAUCUAAAUUUAUUGUUUUGUAGGAUGGCCUGAGGAUUACAUACUUCUGGAUCAAGGAACAAAUUGAGAAAGAGAAGUCUCAAGGCAUUGACCUGACUAUUUAUGGGUCAUCUAAGGUGGUGGGAACUCAAGCACCAGUUCAGUUGGGCUCACUUCGUGCUGCAGACGGCAAAGAAUGAAGUAGCGUAUAGUUGCUUUAAAGCCAAGUUUUAUUAUGGUAUAGCUAUGCUAAUGGCAAUGAAUAGGAAUGCGUCAACCAGUGUCAGGUUGACUAUUUAUUUUUGGUAUUUAGUUGGUGUACUAUGGUCAUCGUCUAAGGGGAAGCUUAUAUGCCCCCACUGUAUUCAAAGGAGCUUUCCGUGGUAGCCUGCUGUUGUAAGAUGGUAUGCUUGGCUUGAUAGCCUUUAAAUAAUAAAAUUCGUUUCUGG